GAAAAAACAUAAUAUAGGACUCGCAAUGAGUGUCCUAAAAAAAUAUGCGAGUCCUAAAAAACUAUGGGCUAAAAAAUGAGUGUUUUACUUAACAAUUUUAAGGACUUGCUUUGGGAGUCCUUAAUACUCUUUAAGGACUCGCUUUGCGAGUCCUAAAAACACAUUGGCGAGUCCUAAAAACACAUUGGCUGAAAAAUUAGUAAUUGUGACUUUUAAAGACUCGCUUUGCGAGUCCUAAAAAAGUAUUAAAGACUCUCAAAGCAAGUCCUUAAAAUAUUUUGUAAAGAAGCAUAAAAACACUCUUUCUUUCGAAAAUAUAGGAUAAAAGGGAUUUAUUUUAGUCUCACCCAAGAUAUUUUUAAUUUAAAUAAAAAAAAUUAUGUUAACUAAAAUAGAAUUUAUAUAUUAGAAAUCUAAUCCCUAAUAUACCACUAAUGGAUUGUAGCCGCAGACCCUCACCCUCACUCUCGAUCUCUCCGUCGACGCACCCCUCACCCUCGAUCUCUCUGUCGCCGCACCCUCACCCUCCCUCUCGAUCUCUCCGUCGCCGCCUCUACCUCAGCCAGCCGAUUGUAGCCGCACCGCCACCGUCGCCGACCGAAUAGCACAGGCAGAAGGGACGAUUCGCACGGAGCGAAGAGCACAGGCCGAAGUAAGGAGACUUUACCAGGUGGAGUUUCAGUCAAUAAAAAGAGAGUUGAAAAAGGGCUUUCACAACUAAAGCUUAAAACAAUGGCCAUGAGUACUUAUCCCCAAAAAAAUCAGAGCUCUAUCUCGCCGUUCUCCUGACUCCGCUACUCUCUCCAUUUCGCUGUCAUCUCUUGGUUUUCCGAGGUACUCUUGCUCGUCUUUGGUGUGCGUGGCGUCGUCUCCGGUGGUGGCUGUUCUAUCUUCUUGUUAAAGGUUAAUAUUUUGAUUGGUCUUAAAGCAUUGGAUUGGUAGCUAAUUGCAAGAGUUCACCUUCGACAAGCCAUAUACUACUCAAGAAAUUGAUGAAGUUAGAGAAGAAUGGGCAAUGUUAUUUUUACAUUUGGUUAGAGCAAAAUGAAUGAUGUUAUAGCUAGUUAAUUACAAUACAUGUUUAG